GGAGGGGCUGUGCCUCAGUGGAAAAGUCUCUGCUUUGCAUACAAAACGUCCUAAGUUCAAUCCUUAGCCUCUCCA
rnacentral:tRNA from 1 species